GGAGCUUGCUCCUUUGACGUUAGCGGCGGACGGGUGAGUAACACGUGGAUAACCUACCUAUAAGACUGGGAUAACUUCGGGAAACCGGAGCUAAUACCGGAUAACAUAUUGAACCGCAUGGUUCAAUAGUGAAAGGCGGCUUUGCUGUCACUUAUAGAUGGAUCCGCGCCGUAUUAGCUAGUUGGUAAGGUAACGGCUUACCAAGGCAACGAUACGUAGCCGACCUGAGAGGGUGAUCGGCCACACUGGAACUGAGACACGGUCCAGACUCCUACGGGAGGCAGCAGUAGGGAAUCUUCCGCAAUGGGCGAAAGCCUGACGGAGCAACGCCGCGUGAGUGAUGAAGGUCUUCGGAUCGUAAAACUCUGUUAUCAGGGAAGAACAAAUGUGUAAGUAACUGUGCACAUCUUGACGGUACCUGAUCAGAAAGCCACGGCUAACUACGUGCCAGCAGCCGCGGUAAUACGUAGGUGGCAAGCGUUAUCCGGAAUUAUUGGGCGUAAAGCGCGCGUAGGCGGUUUUUUAAGUCUGAUGUGAAAGCCCACGGCUCAACCGUGGAGGGUCAUUGGAAACUGGAAAACUUGAGUGCAGAAGAGGAAAGUGGAAUUCCAUGUGUAGCGGUGAAAUGCGCAGAGAUAUGGAGGAACACCAGUGGCGAAGGCGACUUUCUGGUCU
rnacentral:rRNA from 1 species